rnacentral:sRNA from 1 species
CCAAGGUGUUUUCAAGUGAAGUAAUCAGUGGCUCAUAUUCACGAGUUAGACCAUGAACCAUUGCAAAAAUCUUCAUCUUUUCUGUAACAGGACUUCCUACUGAAGCAAGCUGAUCGCAAAUAUUCUUUAGACAACGCAAAUACUCAUCCAUGGUUUUUCCUUCUUUUGACAAACCAUGGAGACGACGCUGAAGCUCAAAGACACGAGAUGCAGAAAUACGGUUAAAAUGACUUGCGAGGUUUAGCCAUACCUCUUGAGACGUUUUGGAACCGACAACCACACUAAGAAUGUCUUCAGUAAGCGAACCCAGAAGCCAUGACUUGACGACUUGAUCUGAACGGUGCCACGCCUGGAAAUCUGGAUUUGCAGCUGUAUCCGUGUGACCUUCAAUGUGAGGAACCGGAAUGGUGCUUGCUGGAACCGAGAUUGCGCUAGUGACGAACCCGAGAAGGCCUUGGCCAGAGAGAAACGAUUCGAACUGAGAUUUCCAUAGUAAAUAGUUGCGAUCUGUAAGCUUUACGGUAACGCAAUUUGAGAUGUCUAACGACGGACAUGAAUAAAUUUCCAUGGAUCUAUCCAUGGCUCUGAUACCAUAAAGGAAAGAAGCCAAAACUGUAAACUUUGAUGUUUUGAUUUUAUUUAGCUUAAGUUUCAAUGACAAAGAUACAUUGGUUUUAUAGAGUUUCUAUUCUUUAACCUAGUGUCUCCUUGUCUUGCUUAGCUGUCUUUAAAUGCUACGUAACCAUAUCACGUCGUCUCCGCUUUCUUUUCUCUUUUUUUU